GCCCGUACCGUAAACCGACACAGGUGGGUGGGAUGAGUAUUCUAAGGCGCGUGGAAGAACUCUCUUCAAGGAACUCUGCAAAAUAGCACCGUAUCUUCGGUAUAAGGUGUGCCUAACUUUGUGAAGGAUUUACUCCGUAAGCAUUGAAGGUUACAACAAAGAGUCCCUCCCGACUGUUUACCAAAAACACAGCACUCUGCUAACUCGUAAGAGGAUGUAUAGGGUGUGACGCCUGCCCGGUGCUCGAAGGUUAAUUGAUGACGUUAGCUCUGCGAAGCGUUUGAUCGAAGCCCGAGUAAACGGCGGCCGUAACUAUAACGGUCCUAAGGUAGCGAAAUUCCUUGUCGAUUAAAUAUCGACCUGCAUGAAUGGCGUAACGAGAUGGGAGCUGUCUCGAAGAGGGAUCCAGUGAAAUUGUAGUGGAGGUGAAAAUUCCUCCUACCCGCGGCAAGACGGAAAGACCCCGUGGACCUUUACUACAGCUUGACACUGCUAUUGGGAUAAAAAUGUGCAGGAUAGGUGGGAGGCUUUGAUCCAUAGACGCCAGUUUAUGGUGAGCCGUUGUUGAGAUACCACUCUUUUUUAUUCUGAUAGCUAACUAGCUUGAGUUAUCCUCAAGUAGGACAAUGUCUGGUGGGUAGUUUGACUGGGGCGGUCGCCUCCCAAAAUGUAACGGAGGCUUACAAAGGUUGGCUCAGAACGGUUGGAAAUCGUUCGCAGAGUAUAAAGGCAAAAGCCAGCUUAACUGCGAGACAUACACGUCAAGCAGGGACGAAAGUCGGUCUUAGUGAUCCGGUGGUUCUGUGUGGAAGGGCCAUCGCUCAAAGGAUAAAAGGUACCCCGGGGAUAACAGGCUGAUCUCCCCCAAGAGCUCACAUCGACGGGGAGGUUUGGCACCUCGAUGUCGGCUCAUCGCAUCCUGGGGCUGGAGCAGGUCCCAAGGGUAUGGCUGUUCGCCAUUUAAAGCGGUACGCGAGCUGGGUUCAGAACGUCGUGAGACAGUUCGGUCCCUAUCUGCCGUGGGCGCAAGAAGAUUGAGGAGAGUUGACCCUAGUACGAGAGGACCGGGUUGAACCGACCACUGGUGUACCAGUUAUCCUGCCAAGGGUAGCGCUGGGUAGCUAUGUCGGGAUGUGAUAACCGCUGAAAGCAUCUAAGCAGGAAGCCAACUCCAAGAUGAAUCUUCUUUUAAGAGCUCUUAUAGACUAUAAGUUUGAUAGGC
rnacentral:rRNA from 1 species